rnacentral:tRNA from 1 species
GUGACCAUAGCUCAGUUGGCAGAGCUCUAGGUUGUGGUCCUAGCGGUCAUCGGUUCGACUCCGAUUGGUCACCCCA